GGUUAAGCGACUAAGCGUACACGGUGGAUGCCCUGGCAGUCAGAGGCGAUGAAGGACGUGCUAAUCUGCGAUAAGCGCCGGUAAGGUGAUAUGAACCGUUAUAACCGGCGAUWYCCGAAUGGGGAAACCCAGUGUGAYUCGUCACACUAUCAUUAACUGAAUCCAUAGGUUAAUGAGGCGAACCGGGGGAACUGAAACAUCUAAGUACCCCGAGGAAAAGAAAUCAACCGAGAUUCCCCCAGUAGCGGCGAGCGAACGGGGAGGAGCCCAGAGCCUGAAUCAGCAUGUGUGUUAGUGGAAGCGUCUGGAAAGGCGCGCGAUACAGGGUGACAGCCCCGUACACAAAAGCGCAUGUGCUGUGAGCUCGAUGAGUAGGGCGGGACACGU
rnacentral:rRNA from 1 species